rfam:Pseudomassariella vexata strain CBS 129021 BCR38scaffold_1, whole genome shotgun sequence.
GAUGGUGUAGUAUAGUGGUCAGUACAACACGUUGUGGUUUCGGCAUAACGAGUCCGUGUAGACCCCGGUUCGAUUCCGGGCACCGUCA